rnacentral:rRNA from 1 species
UACGAAGGGGGCUAGCGUUGCUCGGAAUUACUGGGCGUAAAGGGCGCGUAGGCGGCACUGUUAGUCAGGCGUGAAAGUCCUGGGCUCAACCUGGGAACUGCGCUUGAUACGGCAGAGCUAGAGGAUGGAAGAGGGUCGCGGAAUUCCCAGUGUAGAGGUGAAAUUCGUAGAUAUCAAGAGGAACACCUGCGGCGAAGGCGGGUUGCUGGGCCGACACUGACGCUGAGUGCGCGAAAGCUAGGGGAGCGAACGGG